UACGUAGGUGGCAAGCGUUUGUCCGGAAUUAUUGGGCGUAAAGCGCGCGCAGGCGGUCCUUUAAGUCUGAUGUGAAAGCCCACGGCUCAACCGUGGAGGGUCAUUGGAAACUGGGGGACUUGAGUGCAGGAGAGAAAAGUGGAAUUCCACGUGUAGCGGUGAAAUGCGUAGAGAUGUGGAGGAACACCAGUGGCGAAGGCGACUUUUUGGCCUGUAACUGACGCUGAGGCGCGAAAGCGUGGGGAGCAAACAGG
rnacentral:rRNA from 1 species